UAGGGAAUCUUCGGCAAUGGGGGGAACCCUGACCGAGCAACGCCGCGUGAGUGAAGAAGGUUUUCGGAUCGUAAAGCUCUGUUGUUAAGGAAGAACGAGCGUGAGAAUGGAAAGUUCAUGCUGUGACGGUACUUAACCAGAAAGGGACGGCUAACUACGUGCCAGCAGCCGCGGUAAUACGUAGGUCACGAGCGUUGUCCGGAUUUAUUGGGCGUAAAGCGAGCGCAGGCGGUUAGAAAAGUCUGAAGUGAAAGGCAGUGGCUCAACCAUUGUAGGCUUUGGAAACUGUUUAAAUUGAGUGCAGAAGGGGAGGGUGGAAUUCCAUGUGUAGCGGUGAAAUGCGUAGAUAUAUGGAGGAACACCAGUGGCGAAGGCGACUCUCUGGUCUGUAACUGACGCUGAGGCUCGAAAGCGUGGGGAGCAAACAGG
rnacentral:rRNA from 1 species